rnacentral:tRNA from 2 species
GGGGGUGUGGCUCAGUGGUAGAGUGCUUGCCUAGCAUGCAUGAGGCACUGGGUUUGAUCCUCAGCACCACAU